rnacentral:rRNA from 1 species
UACGGGGGGGGCGAAGCGUUGUUCGGAAUUACUGGGCGUAAAGGGCGCGUAGGCGGCCUUCUAAGUCGGACGUGAAAUCCCGUCGGACUUCAACCGAGGAACUGCGUCCGAAGACUGAAAGGCUUGAAUCCGGGGAGAGGGAUGUGGAAUUCCAGGUGUAGCGGUGAAAUGCGUAGAUAUCUGGAGGAACACCGGUGGCGAAGGCGGCAUCCUGGACCGGCAUUGACGCUGAUGCGCGAAAAGCUAGGGGAGCAAACGGG